CCCUUAGACGUUCUGGGCCGCACGCGCGCUACACUGACCAGUGCAACAAGCAUCCGUCCUUGGCCGACAGGCUCGGGCAAUCUUUGAACGCUGGUCGUGAUGGGGAUAGACUUUUGCAAUUUUUGGUCUUCAACGAGGAAUUCCUAGUAAACGCAAGUCAUCAACUUGCAUUGAUUACGUCCCUGCCCUUUGUACACACCGCCCGUCGCACCUACCGAUUGAAUGGUCCGGUGAAGCCUCCGGAUUGGCGCGCACCUCGGUGCCGCCGAGAAGUUGGCUAAACCUUACCAUUUAGAGGAAGGAGAANUCGUAACA
rnacentral:rRNA from 1 species